rnacentral:sRNA from 1 species
CAUCUCUCCUUCUCGUCAAUCAAUCAAUGAGGCCAGCAUUGAUCUCAGAUUCUCUUCUUCCCUCUUCUCCACUGGCCAUUUCGUUCAAAGGCUAACUAAAGAGAGCCGAGCCUCCCCCUUUUUCCGCCUCUAAUAUAACUAACUUAGUUAACGAGUUACGAUGAAAAAGUUCCUGCUGAUGUAACGUUGCUCCCUGCCAACCCUCCUGGGCGUGAGUUGUGUGCAACCCUGCUGUGUGACCGCUCGUCACUGGUCAGUCAAGUCGCCCUUUUUAAUUUCGGCGGUUGACGCUGACCUCGCCAGAGUGGCCACUCCCACUGCACUUGCACUCUUUUCUUCUCUGCGAUGUGCGUGCUUGGCGUGGAGUGGUGGUUAGUUCGUAGGUCUAAAAUCUUUGUUUGAGUUCAUGGCAAUGGAUUUUCUUUUUUUUUUUCUUUUUCUUUUUUUCUUUUUCUUUUUUUCUUUUUCCAUUCUUCUUGCUUUUUAUUUUUAUUGGCGCAAUUGAAACAAAAAAAAAAAGAUAUUUUCAUAGAGUUUAAUUAAACCAGGAUUGAAGAAUCAAAUUACCAUCUCAAAGGAAGAUCCAAGAUCUCAUCAGAACCCUAUUCAACAUCAUCAACUGGCCAGCACGACUACUUAACUUCUGUCGAACCACCUAAUCCUCAUACCCCGGCGUCCUUCUCGGGGGAGCCUUCCGGGGUUCUUACCGUUAAACUGACAUCCAAGCUUUCAGGAUUCGAUGUUAUUGCUUCUUUGCAUAUGCAGCAUCUAUACUACUAUAAUCAGUCGAUCACUCACCCAACUAUGUAUUUGUUCAGCAAUGCCAUUAUCAGCACAAUGUACGGAGU